rnacentral:rRNA from 1 species
UACGUAGGGUGCGAGCGUUAAUCGGAAUUACUGGGCGUAAAGGGUGCGCAGGCGAUUAUAUAAGACAGAUGUGAAAUCCCCGGGCUCAACCUGGGAACUGCGUUUGUGACUGUAUGACUAGAGUACGGUAGAGGGGGAUGGAAUUCCGCGUGUAGCAGUGAAAUGCGUAGAUAUGCGGAGGAACACCGAUGGCGAAGGCAAUCCCCUGGACCUGUACUGACGCUCAUGCACGAAAGCGUGGGAGCAA